AAGUCGUAACAAGGUUUCCGAUAGGUGAACCUGCGGAAGGAUCAUUACAAAUAAAAGCGUGGAUAAGGAAGUGGGGUCUUGAUCUGUAAGUGGUAGAGGCGAACAGUCCUGGCUGCCUCCCGAAAUGUCAUUACAUGUCCCCCAUCAUGCCUGAAGGCCGAAUUACAACCCUUGAUUAUCUACACUUGUUAGCUUUGGGGUGCUCAAGUGCCCCAGAGGACCCAACUCUCUUGCAUUUAGUGACGUCUGAGUACUAUAUAAUAUUUAAAA
rnacentral:misc_RNA from 1 species